rnacentral:rRNA from 1 species
UACGUAGGGUGCAAGCGUUGUCCGGAAUUAUUGGGCGUAAAGAGCUCGUAGGCGGUUUGUCGCGUCGACUGUGAAAACCCGAGGCUUAACCUCGGGCCUGCAGUCGAUACGGGCAGACUAGAGUGUGGUAGGGGAGACUGGAAUUCCUGGUGUAGCGGUGAAAUGCGCAGAUAUCAGGAGGAACACCGAUGGCGAAGGCAGGUCUCUGGGCCACUACUGACGCUGAGAAGCGAAAGCAUGGGGAGCGAACAGG